AGCCGGAAGCUGGUGGCGGCUGGUGGGCGACCCGGCGCAUCCCCGUUGCAGUGCGGCGGUCCGAACCCGGCCCUGGCCUGACCCCGGCGGCCCUGCCCGCCCCUCCCGACAGGGCAUCUCUCCACGCAGGUUCUCCCUCUUCCAUCCUCAGUCGGCUGUACCGGUGGACGCUCAGUUUGAUGACGGUAUCCGCCUGAAUGAGUCAUGCUGGGGGCCGAGUCCUGCGAUCAGGAGUGAGCGUUCACUGCCUCAUGAUCUGUGGUUCCUGGACACGCUCACACAAGGCACAGAGAAUUAUGGAGCAGAAGGGAGCCCAGGGGUCCCUGUGAGUCACCGUGGCAGGGCUGAUGGUCUGAAUCCACUCUGCUUGUCCUGCAGCAGCCACACUGUUGCCCCCAUGCCUCAGAAUGGCCCCAGAAGGACCUACCUGCAGGUCCCCCGGCAGGCUGGACUUUCCACACACUCCAGCAUCAUGGCCAGCCCAAGAACCAGGAAGGUUCUUAAAGAAGUCAGGGUGCAGGAUGAGAACAACGUUUGUUUUGAGUGUGGCGCAUUCAAUCCUCAGUGGGUCAGUGUGACCUAUGGCAUCUGGAUCUGCCUGGAAUGUUCGGGGAGACACCGUGGGCUUGGGGUGCACCUCAGCUUUGUGCGCUCUGUUACUAUGGACAAGUGGAAGGACAUUGAGCUUGAGAAGAUGAAAGCUGGCGGGAAUGCUAAGUUCCGAGAGUUCCUGGAGUCUCAGGAGGACUACGAUCCCGGCUGGUCCUUGCAGGAGAAGUACAAUAGCAGAGCCGCGGCCCUCUUUAGGGAUAAGGUGGCCGCUCUGGCCGAAGGUAGAGAGUGGUCUCUGGAGUCAUCACCUGCCCAGAACUGGACCCCACCUCAGCCCAGGACCCUGCCGUUCACAGCACACAGAGCCUCUGGCCAGCCGCAGAGUGUGACCGCCUCCUCGGACAAGGCUUUCGAAGACUGGCUGAAUGAUGACCUCGGCUCCUAUCAAGGAGCCCAGGGGAAUCGCUAUGUGGGGUUUGGGAACACGCCACCACCUCAGAAGAAAGAAGAUGACUUCCUCAACAACGCCAUGUCCUCCCUGUACUCGGGCUGGAGCAGCUUCACCACUGGAGCCAGCCGGUUUGCCUCAGCAGCCAAGGAGGGUGCUACAAAGUUUGGAUCCCAAGCAAGUCAGAAGUUUUGGGGUCACAAGCAGCAGCCGGAGCCGGCGUCCGAGCUGGGCCACAGCCUGAACGAGAACGUCCUCAAGCCUGCGCAGGAGAAGGUGAAGGAGGGAAAGAUUUUUGAUGAUGUGUCCAAUGGGGUCUCUCAGUUGGCAUCCAAGGUAGGGAGCCUGCCCCAUGUGCGGGCACAGUCAAAGCUAGUCUCCAUAUUCCACGGCCCUGGGCAUGAGAACAGGGUAUGCCCCGUGCAGCCCCCAGCCCGCCUUGGCAGUGGCCGCUGUCCUCUGAGACGGGAGGAGGGCUGCCCAGCCUGAUGGCCCGAGGGAUAUGGAAACAGCUUGGCCCACUGCGGCCCGGUCAGCCACUAACUGUCACUUCUCCUGCUCUUACCUUGCUGCUGCUGGCCUUUUCCUCGGUCCAGGGAGUCGGUAGUAAGGGAUGGCGGGACGUCACCACCUUUUUUUCGGGGAAAGCAGAGGGCCCCUUGGACAGCCCCUCGGAGGGCCACAGUUACCAGAACAGCGGUCCGGACCACUUCCAAAACAGCACCAUAGACCAGAGUUUCUGGGAGACCUUUGGAAGUGCUGAGCCCACCAAGGCCCGCAAGUCCCCAAGCAGCGACAGCUGGACGUGCGCGGACACCUCCACCGAGAGGAGGAGCUCGGACAGCUGGGAGGUGUGGGGCUCAGCCUCCACCAACAGGAACAGCAACAGCGACGGUGGGGAGGGCGGGGAGGGUGCCAAGAAGGCAGUGCCACUGGCCGUGCCCGCCGACGAUGGCUGGGACAACCAGAACUGGUAGGGCCCACCGUGCCCCUGUCCCCAGCGCCCCCAGGCGACUUCAUGUUUGCACUCUGCCCUCAUCGUUCCUCCUCCUUUCAUUUGACCCAAGAAUCAGCGACUGCAGUGUGAGGACAGCGUCUCGGGAGGCAGGACCCCAGGGAGACUCGGGUUCGCGCCGCCUGCCACGUGGGGGUCUCGGUGCGUGGGAGCGGCCUGCUCUCCAGCCUGGGCGGGGGCCAUCCCGUCCUACGCUCCCCUGGGCAUUCUUGGACUCAAGGCAGGGGCUCUUCGUGGCUUGCUGGGAGGUGGGCUGUAGCACAGAGCCCUGCGACUGCUCCAGCGGCCGGUUCAUUACGCAGUAUCUCGGGGCUGGGAGCAGCCACAUGCCGAGCUGUCAGCGACGUGAGGUGUCCCUUCUCCUUGAGAUACUUAACUUUGGGUUUGCUCUAGUUCUUUCUUUUUGAAGAGAGGACUGGAGUGGUAAAGAUGGAAACGCUAAAAGCGAUACUGGCGCUCACACUGCUGUCCGACCACCCUCGGCUCCCACGUCCACGCCUGCCUGGGCCUGUGCGGUCAAACCUGCGACGGUCGUGACCCUCCGUGGCUUCCCUGCAUCCACACUGUCCAACCACCAAGUUCACCAGACACAGCCUCCACGAUAGCCACACCCACACCUGAGCUGUUCCCAGUGCUAGGACUUGACCAUCCUGGAACACCCUGGAAGAAAAAGGAGCGCAGGGUGGGCCCUCGGCCCUGAUGCAGGAGGGUACGACAGCGGGUGUGGCCCGGCAGGAGAGCCCUGGGUUCAGGAGCUGAGCAGGGGAUGCCUGUGCACGGUGCCUGGGGCUGCCCUACAGACUGGUGCCCGCCACGUGCCGACCCUCACCUCCCCGAGGACUGGAUGAUGUGCUGCCGUGUGUGACUCAUCUCUGUUGCCCACCCUGUGUGACUCUGGGCCUUGGCCAGCUGUGCAUGCACCCGAAGCUCGUGCAGUUUGUAUGUGAGGUGCUCUCUCCCCCACCACCAUGCUCAUCACUGUGGCCUUGGCCACACUCCUUGGUCACCCCACUUCCCGGUCGCCGUCUGCAGCACUCCUGGAGCAACCUGGGCCCUUCAGCCCCUGUGCUCGUCCCACCCUGGGGACUCGGCCACCCGCGAAACGGAUGGGACGAGAUUUCAGCGAGCCCUGCUGGCGGCCGGUCCUCCUGUGGGCACCAGCCCUCUUGGUAGCCGGCGUGGAGGGCCGGUGUCCUUGGCUGCCAUGGAGGGACUUGGUCACCGAAACAGCCACCUGCUGUAAUUGGACCUGAAGUCAGAGGCCGGGGGUCAGAGGCUCAUGGUGCUGAGAAGCCACUGGGCAAAGUGGCCAACACAAAGGUCCCAGGAAGCCAUCUCCCGAGAGCUGAGCGUGAGGUCUUUGCGUCUUUCUCCAAGCUGAGACUUGGGCGCGCGCGGUGGUUCCCGAGGGCUGCUUGGACCCUGGUGGGCUGAAUUCUCCGAGGAGGGGUGGACUCCACUGGACAGUGGGAUGUGGUGGUCCAUGUGCCUGUUUCCAUGUCAGCACCUUUUGACUUGGCAGCAUGGAGCCAAGCUCUGCCCCCCAAGGAGGGCGCCUUUCUUGGGGGUAGGGGGACGGCCCCUCUGCCUGCCCCAGAUCCCCUUUAAUGGGAGGUGCAGUCAGCAGUGUGGAGGUGUCUGGGCCACCUUCAGAAGGUGGAUGUGGUGGCCGAGACCCUAUCCACAGAGGGUGACGGCCUUUCCCUUCUGCAGGUGCGGGCAGGUGGGCCUGGGACAGGUGCUGGGGCCUCUCCUGGCUGUAUGUGAGAACCCAUGUGGAAGGCGCGGACCUGACAGCAUUCCAAUAAAGCAUAGGGAACACGCAGAA